rnacentral:rRNA from 1 species
GACGAACGCUUUCGGCGUGCUUAACACAUGCAAGUCGAACGGAAAGGCCCUGCUUUUGUGGGGUGCUCGAGUGGCGAACGGGUGAGUAACACGUGAGUAACCUGCCCUUGACUUUGGGAUAACUUCAGGAAACUGGGGCUAAUACCGGAUAGGAGCUCCUGCUGCAUGGUGGGGGUUGGAAAGUUUCGGCGGUUGGGGAUGGACUCGCGGCUUAUCAGCUUGUUGGUGGGGUAGUGGCUUACCAAGGCUUUGACGGGUAGCCGGCCUGAGAGGGUGACCGGCCACAUUGGGACUGAGAUACGGCCCAGACUCCUACGGGAGGCAGCAGUGGGGAAUAUUGCACAAUGGGCGGAAGCCUGAUGCAGCAACGCCGCGUGCGGGAUGACGGCCUUCGGGUUGUAAACCGCUUUCGCCUGUGACGAAGCGUGAGUGACGGUAAUGGGUAAAGAAGCACCGGCUAACUACGUGCCAGCAGCCGCGGUGAUACGUAGGGUGCGAGCGUUGUCCGGAUUUAUUGGGCGUAAAGGGCUCGUAGGUGGUUGAUCGCGUCGGAAGUGUAAUCUUGGGGCUUAACCCUGAGCGUGCUUUCGAUACGGGUUGACUUGAGGAAGGUAGGGGAGAAUGGAAUUCCUGGUGGAGCGGUGGAAUGCGCAGAUAUCAGGGGGAACACCAGUGGCGAAGGCGGUUCUCUGGGCCUUUCCUGACGCUGAGGAGCGAAAGCGUGGGGAGCGAACAGGCUUAGAUACCCUGGUAGUCCACGCUGUAAACGGUGGGUACUAGGUGUGGGGUCCAUUCCACGGGUUCCGUGCCGUAGCUAACGCUUUAAGUACCCCGCCUGGGGAGUACGGCCGCAAGGCUAAAACUCAAAGGAAUUGACGGGGCCCCGCACAAGCGGCGGAGCAUGCGGAUUAAUUCGAUGCAACGCGUAGAACCUUACCUGGGUUUGACAUGGAUCGGGAGUGCUCAGAGAUGGGUGUGCCUCUUUUGGGGUCGGUUCACAGGUGGUGCAUGCCUGUCGUCAGCUCGUGUCGUGAGAUGUUGGGUUAAGUCCCGCAACGAGCGCAACCCUUGUUCACUGUUGCCAGCACGUUAUGGUGGGGACUCAGUGGAGACCGCCGGGGUCAACUCGGAGGAAGGUGGGGAUGACGUCAAGUCCUCAUGCCCCUUAUGUCCAGGGCUUCACGCAUGCUACAAUGGCUGGUACAGAGAGUGGCGAGCCUGUGAGGGUGAGCGAAUCUCGGAAAGCCGGUCUCAGUUCGGAUUGGGGUCUGCAACUCGACCUCAUGAAGUCGGAGUCGCUAGUAAUCGCAGAUCAGCAACGCUGCGGUGAAUACGUUCCCGGGGCU